rnacentral:rRNA from 1 species
AUGAACGCUAGCGACAGGCCUAACACAUGCAAGUCGAGGGGCAGCACAAGGAGCAAUCUGAGGUGGCGACCGGCGCACGGGUGAGUAACACGUAUGCAACCUGCCUGUAAGCGGGGAAUAACCCGUUGAAAGACGGACUAAUACCGCAUAAUACUAAAUUACUGCAUGGUAAUUUAUUUAAACAUUUAUGGCUUACAGAUGGGCAUGCGCACGAUUAGCUAGUUGGAGAGGUAACGGCUCCCCAAGGCAACGAUCAUUAGGGGUUCUGAGAGGAAGGUCCCCCACACUGGUACUGAGACACGGACCAGACUCCUACGGGAGGCAGCAGUGAGGAAUAUUGGUCAAUGGACGAGAGUCUGAACCAGCCAGGUCGCGUGCAGGAAGAAUGUCCUUAAUGGAUUGUAAACUGCUUUUGCAGGGGAAUAAAGUGCAUCACGUGUGAUGUUUUGUAUGUACUCUGCGAAUAAGGAUCGGCUAACUCCGUGCCAGCAGCUGC